GACGAACGCUGGCGGCGUGCUUAACACAUGCAAGUCGAACGGAAAGGCCUGCUUUCCCUUGUGGAUUGCGGGUACUCGAGUGGCGAACGGGUGAGUAACACGUGAGUGAUCUGCCCCCAACUUGGGUAUAAGCCUGGGAAACUGGGUCUAAUUCCCGAUAGGACUGCAGGGUGGUGCCUGUGGUGGAAAACGAUUUUCUAGUGGAUGGGGAUGAGCUCGCGGCCUAUCAGCUUGUUGGUGGGGUAAUGGCCUACCAAGGCGGCGACGGGUAGCCGGCCUGAGAGGGUGGACGGCGACAUUGGGACUGAGAUACGGCCCAGACUCCUACGGGAGGCAGCAGUGGGGAAUAUUGCACAAUGGGCGGAAGCCUGAUGCAGCGACGCCGCGUGGGGGAUGACGGCCUUCGGGUUGUAAACUCCUUUCGACCGCGAGGAAGCCACCUGGUUGGAAGGGUGGUGACGGUAGUGGUAGAAGAAGCACCGGCUAACUACGUG
rnacentral:rRNA from 1 species